UGCAAUUGAGGAAUAUGCAGUGAUGGCCGAGUGCAUUGUCAGAAAGUUCAAGAAAUGCGGCGAUUGCAUCUAUGAUAAUCUGAAAAGACCAAUUUUGGUUGGGCUUUGCUUAGCUAUAAUUGUGUGUUUGAUAGUGAAAAGAGUUUGAUUACACUGAUGGCACAGAUAUUAGGCGCACUCAGAAGAUGUAAUAAACAAAUAAUUUUGUUACAGACUUUGGGUAGGAAGAUUUGAAUUUUACACCAAAAAAUCUCUUCUCAUUGAAAGCUCCACAAUAUUUCCAAUAUUGUAAUGUAAUAAUAUAAGAAUUUUCGCUGUCAUAUUUAUGAAUAAAAGAUAUAUUUAUUUAUAAUAA